AGAGAGGAGUGUUGUUACUGUAUGUUAUGCUCCAGCUCAUUCAAACAUGAAUUAUGUUACCAUACGUCACUUCUCCCGCUUGCUGCAUCUUGUGCUCUAGCUGAAAUUUCUGACCUGAUAUAAUUUUCUGCUAUUUCUAAGGUUCCUUCUUGCGCCUGGGUCUGUUGGUGCGGUAUCAUGAUGCGGCUCGGCGUUGAGGAUGUGUGGCUGCUUCGCAACCUGCAUGGUCAGGCGGUGCUGCUGCCACGAUGGCCUUAACCUUUGUAUAAUACUGUUUAGACGGAUUUUUGUAAUGCUAAGUUGGUUGAGCUAUACUUGUUCAGAUUUAUACUGAUUGUUCAAAUUUAUACUUAAGCUAUACUUGCUUGAA